UGAGCAACCUGCCCUUGACUCUGGAAUAACAGCUGGAAACAGCUGCUAAUACCGGAUACGACCUCGAUCGACAUCAGUCGAGGUGGAAAGCUCCGGCGGUCAGGGAUGGGCUCGCGGCCUAUCAGCUUGUUGGUGAGGUAACGGCUCACCAAGGCUUCGACGGGUAGCCGGCCUGAGAGAGCGACCGGCCACACUGGGACUGAGAUACGGCCCAGACCUCGUACGGGA
rnacentral:rRNA from 1 species